rnacentral:misc_RNA from 1 species
UUAAGUUCAGCGGGUAUUCCUACCUGAUCCGAGGUCAACCACAAAAAAUUGGGGGUUUAGCGGCUGGGAGCUGCAGCACCUAACAAAAGCGAGAAAUAAUUUACUACGCUCAGAGGAUACCACAGAUCCGCCGUUGUAUUUCAGGAAUUACAUAACUGUAAAUUCCCAACACUAAGCUAGGCUUAAGGGUUGAAAUGACG